CGCUUGCGUGAGGGAUAGUAGUGAAAAUCCUUUUCCUUUUUUCUUUAAAAAGGAAAAGAUUGUAGCGGAUAGCCCGACCCUUG
rnacentral:sRNA from 1 species